rfam:Camelus ferus unplaced genomic scaffold scaffold676, whole genome shotgun sequence.
GAGGGUAUAGCUUAGCUGUAGAGCGCAUGCCUAGCAUGCAUGAGGUCCUGGGUUCAAUCCCCAGUACCUCCA